UCUAUCCAGAUAAAAAUUGAACAUCCUUACACAUUCUUUUCUAAUUGCAGGAAUAAAAAGAAAUCAAUCGUCUUUAUCAUCUCUAUCAUCUCGAGCAGAUCGAUAUCUCUCUUAACAUCCGAUACAAUUUCCAUCUGGCACAUUACAGCCACAUCCUUUCAUCGUCGAAACAUAAAAUUCCCUCUGCCCUUACGCGUCGUGAAGAAAAAGAAAGUAAGACAGAAAAAAAGGGGGAGAGAGAAAAAGAGAAUAAAUCUGCCAGCCUACAUACUUUUCCCGAUCGAUACUCGUCGAUCGUCAAAGAGUCGCACGACCGUAAAGAAACUGUCGUUCGCCUCGAUUUCAAUGCAUACACAUCUUUUACGUGCUCGAUAGAGUGUGAUGCAGUGUGACGUUCGAUGAAUAACGAUCACCCACCCAGGCCAUCGACACAUCGCAACGUUAUGCCGCGCAACAUCAGCAGGAAACAACUUUGAUCAAGGAAUCGUGACUCCUUUUCUUCCGUUUUCGAAUCGAAUACAUUUUCGACACGAGCCGAGGACAACGUUCGAGGACUCUCCAAUUUCCUGUUACGACGAUUCUUCGAGGAAGUGGCAUACCUUCCUUAAAAAUCGAGGUUUUGACCAGAAGGAAAUUAGAAGAUUGGAAGGUUUGUCGAGUAAUUACAAGUUAAAUAGAGCGUAGAAACUCGAGUCACUAUAUCGAUUAAUAUUAAUUUCGUCGCGUUAUAAAUAUCGAAAUUGCAUAGAAUUUUAUAUAAAAAAACGUAAAUGAAUAAUAAUAAGGAACAAAGAAAGAAAGAAAGAAUCUUUGGAAUUCUUUUUCAAGAAUAAUAUGAUGGAAGAUGGACGAAAAAGAAUUGUACGAAUCCAAUAAUUAAAAGGAGUUACAUUUUGCAACAAUUGCGUUUUGAGGAUAUACAGCAUCUCUCUCUAUUUUAAUGGCAACUUAAAUUAAAAACCACGAAAUCACUCUAAUUACAACAAAAUUCAACAACAAAAGUGAAAUGGACACAAUUUCUCUUCAAUUCUGUCGAGCCCAAAAAGAAAAAAGAACAGAUUCCUUGAACAAUUAUAUAUUACUAUAUUUCUCUGAUACAACAAACUCUCUUUCCCUCUUUUCCUCUCUCUCUUCAAAGAAAUUUUAGUUCCCUAACUAACCAAUUUUCUUUCACUUUACAGGAAACAACUUAAAUUAGAAACCACGAAAUCACUCUAAUUACAACAAAAGUGGAAUGGACACAAUUUGUCUUCAAUUCUGUCGAACCCAAAAAAAAAAAAAGAACAGAUUCCUUGAACAAUUAUAUAUUACUAUAUUUCUCUGCUACAACAAACUCUCUCUCUUUCUUUCUUCAAAGAAAUUUUAGUUCCCUAACUAACCAAUUUUCUUUCACUUUACAGGGGAUAACUUAAAUGAAAAAAUCACUCUAAUUACAACAAAGUUCAACAACAAAAGUGAAAUGGACACAAUUUCUCUUCAAUUCUGUCGAAUCCUCAAAAAAGAAAAAAGAACAGAUUCCUUGAACAAUUAUAUAUUACUAUAUUUCUCUGCUACAACAAACUCUCUCUCUCUCUCUCUCUUCAAAGAAAUUUUAGUUCCCUAACUAACCAAUUUUCUUUCACUUUACAGAGAAAAUUAAAUUAGAAACCACGAAAUCACUCUAAUUACAACAAAAGUAAAAUGGACACAAUUUGUCUUCAAUUCUGUCGAACCCCAAAAAAAGAAAAAAGAAAAAAGAAGAGAUUCCUUGAACAAUUAUAUAUUACUAUAUUUUUCUGCUACAACAAACUCUCUCUCUCUCUCUUUCUUCAAAGAAAUUUUAGUUCCCUAACUAACUAAUUUUCUUUCACUUUACAGAGAACAACUUAAAUUAAAAAUUACGAAAUCACUCUAAUUACAACAAAAGUAAAAUGGACACAAUUUGUCUUCAAUUCUGUCGAACCCAAAAAAAAAAAAAAAAAGAACAGAUUCUUUUUACAAUAUCAAAAUGCAAUAAGAAAGGAAGGCAAAGCACACGAAACGGUUGAGGUGAUUUCCUUCGGAGAACGCCUUGAUCCCCCUCCCUCCCCUCCCCCUCUUCCUCUUUCGAAUCGAAUCGGCAGCAUGAAUGGAAACGAGAUUUCUCGUCAAUCAAGGUGAAUGUCUGAAGGCGGAGGAGGAAUAGAGGUCGAUAUCGGAGGCGGACACGACAAGGCAUAGUAAUUAACAGACGUUUCGAUCGCGCGAGUACCAUCGGUCCUCAACAAAUUGUGGUCUGUGAUCUAAAUGUGUGAACGGACCAACUCCGGGGGGAUUCGACUUGAUGGCGGUUAGAGAAUUUCAAGGGAUCAGGCUUGCUAACGUGUAUUAUAUUCUGAAUAGUUGUCGUUAGUUGCUGACAAAUUUUCUCUUGUCCCGGCGUGUCGUCGCUCUUCAACAACGGCCGCCCCUCGACAGCCUGCUGAAACUCGAGUAUCGUCCCCGUUUCUCUCGAUGGAAUUAUCAUACCGACGCGGCGGAUUCUAAACGAGAUAAUAUUUCAAGAUUUCUUUCCAAAAGGAUUUUGUAUCUUCGUUUCUUCGAAAUUGUCAACUUUUAUUCGAGUUAUCCAUCUAAAAACUAUGGAUUUGUUUUUCUUUCUGGAUUGCAAGAAAUGUUAUUUCUGAAGAUAUAUAUUCUACACUGUUCUUGUAUUAAUUUCAUUUUAAUUUUCCCUUUCCAGCGGAUUCUAAGCGAGAUAUUUUAAGAUUUCUUUCUAAAAGAAAUUAUAUCUUCGUUUCGAAAUUUUUAUUGGAGUCAAUGAGUUGAUUACACGAAGAAAAAUCGGAAGUUUUGUCCAUCUAAAAACGAUGGAUUUGCUUUUCUUUCUGGAUUCGGAUUCUAGCGAGAUAAUAUUUCAAGAUUUCUUUCUAAAAGAAAUUAUAUCUUCGUUUCGAAAUUUUUAUUGGAGUCAAUGAGUUGAUUAUACGGAGAGAAGUCGAAAGUUUUGUCCAUCUAAAAACUAUGGAUUUGCUUUUGUUUCUCGAUUGCAAGAAAUGUUAUUUCUGAAGAUAUAUAUUCUACACUGUUCUUGUAUUAAUUUCAUUUUAAUUUUCCCUUUCCAGCGGAUUCUAAGCGAGAUAAUAUUUCAAGAUUUCUUUCCAAAAGGAUUUUGUAUCUUCGUUUCGAAAUUGUCAACUUUUAUUCGAGUCAAUGAAUUGAUUACACGGAGAGAAAUCGGAAGUUUUAUCCAUCUAAAAACUAUGGAUUUGCUUUUCUUUCUGGAUUGCAAGAAAUGUUAUUUCUGAAGAUAUAUAUUCUACACUGUUCUUGUAUUAAUUUCAUUUUAAUUUUCCCUUUCCAGCGGAUUCUAAGCGAGAUAAUAUUUCAAGAUUUCUUUCCAAAAGGAUUUUGUAUCUUCGUUUCGAAAUUGUCAACUUUUAUUCGAGUCAAUGAAUUGAUUACACGGAGAGAAAUCGGAAGUUUUAUCCAUCUAAAAACUAUGGAUUUGCUUUUCUUUCUGGAUUGCAAGAAAUGUUAUUUCUGAAGAUAUAUAUUCUACACUGUUCUUGUAUUAAUUUCAUUUUAAUUUUCCCUUUCCAGCGGAUUCUAAACGAGAUAAUAUUUCAAGAUUUCUUUCCAAAAGGAUUUUGUAUCUUCGUUUCGAAAUUGUCAACUUUUAUUCGAGUCAAUGAGUUGAUUAUACGAAACAAGAAAAGUCGGAAGUUUUGUCCAUCUAAAAACUAUGGAUUUGGUUUUUGUUUCUCGAUUGCAAGAAAUGUUAUUUCUGAAGCUAUAUAUUCUACACUGUUCUUGUAUUAAUUUCAUUUUAAUUUUCCCUUUCCAGCGGAUUCUAAACGAGAUAAUAUUUCAAGAUUUCUUUCCAAAAGGAUUUUGUAUCUUCGUUUCGAAAUUGUCAACUUUUAUUCGAGUCAAUGAGUUGAUUAUACGAAACAAGAAAAGUCGGAAGUUUUGUCCAUCUAAAAACUAUGGAUUUGGUUUUUGUUUCUCGAUUGCAAGAAAUGUUAUUUCUGAAGCUAUAUAUUCUACACUGUUCUUGUAUUAAUUUCAUUUUAAUUUUCCCUUUCCAGCGGAUUUUAAACGAGAUAUUUCAAGAUUUCUUUCUAAAAGAAAUUAUAUCUUCAUUUCGAAAUUUUUAUUGGAGUCAAUGAGUUGAUUACACGGAGAGAAGUCGAAAGUUUUGUCCAUCUGAAAACUAUGGAUUUGCUUUUCUUUCUGAAUUCGCACGAGCAUGCCGCACGAAACAAAGGAUUAUUAGUAUGCCAGGCUCACGUACGCCUUUCCAUUAUUAUAAGUACAUAUCGUUUGUGCUGGUGAAUUUGGAUGAUAUCGCGUAAUAUGGGUCAGGAUAGUCCAUUUAAUCUUCCCCGGCUCGUGUUAUGCCGGUGAAUAAUGCAAAUUAGGCAACGGAUAACACGAUCGUAUACAACGAUCAUAUUUCGAUUACUCGAGAUCUUUACUCGCUGGAAGUGAAAAUUAUCGUUCUCGAAGAAUUUUUUCCCAUUUUAUUUAUUUCCUUUCUUAUUUAAAUUGAAUUGAAUCGAAUAGAUAUCGUUUACGAGCAGAUAUUCAAUUCGUACGUAUAUACACGGACGAAUGAAAGUUUUGCAAUUAGUGGAUGGCGUUCUAAUCGUUAACCAUAACCUUGUUUUAACAACUUUGUUUCGCCGAUGAUAGAACGUCGAGUCGAAGCGAACGAAGAUUCGACUCGUCGUGUGUAUAAAUUAUAAUCUUCCGCUUUGAGUAAUAAUAUUUUAUCGUUGAAUCAAAGUGAAGCAUAGAAUAGAAUAGGAUGGAAUAAAAGUUAGAAACGAAAAGAAACGAAAUUGAAAAGAUUUGUGUAAACGAUUAAAAAAUAAUAAAAAGAAAAAAAGAAGAAGAAGAAAAGAGUUUGUUUGAGAGCUUGUUAAUCACCAAAUUUUGAAUUUGAAUUAUUACUUUUUUUUUUUCAAAAUUGAUUCUAAAUAUAAAUUGUUGCAAUCUCUAA
rnacentral:lncRNA from 1 species